rnacentral:lncRNA from 1 species
AUUUUGAUAGAAAAAUAAGAAGAAUUAUGGUAGAUUAAUUAAGUUUGAUUUAUUAAACUUUAAAUUAAUUUAAAAAUUCAAUUUGUAUUGGUUGAUUAUUAUAAAAUUAUUUUAUAAAUGGUUAUUUUAAAUAUAACUUUGCUUUGAAAACAUAAAAGGUAUUUUUGAAAGAAAACUUGAUAGACUCGAGAACUUUAUUCGCUCUUUUAUAUAUAGUACAGAUAGAUAUUAAUCUAGA